GUCUACGGCCAUACCACCCUGAAUGCGCCCAAUCUCGGGUCUGAUCUCGGAAGCUAAGCAGGGUCGGGCCUGGUUAGUACUUGGAUGGGAGAAAUACAGCAUCUCAGGCCUCCCCUCAGAACUCUUGAAUCUGGAUA
rnacentral:rRNA from 1 species